AUUGUCAUAGCUCAGUGAUAAAGCAUCUGCUUUGCAUGUAGAAGGUCCCAGGUUCAAUCCCCAAUGGCAACU